rnacentral:tRNA from 1 species
GAAAUCAUAGUAUAAUAUAGUAUGUUUAAUUGCAAAUUAAAAGGUUAUGGUUUUU